CACGUGGGCAAUCUGCCCUGCACUCUGGGACAAGCCCUGGAAACGGGGUCUAAUACCGGAUACUGAUCCUCGCAGGCAUCUGCGAGGUUCGAAAGCUCCGGCGGUGCAGGAUGAGCCCGCGGCCUAUCAGCUAGUUGGUGAGGUAACGGCUCACCAAGGCGACGACGGGUAGCCGGCCUGAGAGGGCGACCGGCCACACUGGGACUGAGACACGGCCCAGACUCCUACGGGAGGCAGCAGUGGGGAAUAUUGCACAAUGGGCGAAAGCCUGAUGCAGCGACGCCGCGUGAGGGAUGACGG
rnacentral:rRNA from 1 species